GGUGACGAUUAUACUGGAGUUGUCCCACCUGUUCCCAUUUCGAACACAGAAGUGAAAUACUCCGAGGCCGAUGGUAGUGCUAACGCGCGAGAGUAGGUAGUCGUCACCA
rnacentral:rRNA from 1 species